rnacentral:rRNA from 1 species
UCGAGAAUCUUCCACAAUGGGCGAAAGCCUGAUGGAGCGACGCUGCGUGCAGGAUGAAGGCCUUAGGGUUGUAAACUGCUGUCACGCUAUAGGAAACCGUUGGUGUGAAUAGCACCUGCGCUGACCAAAGCGAGAGGAAGUGCCGGCUAACUCCGUGCCAGCAGCCGCGGUAAGACGGAGGGCGCAAGCGUUGUUCGGAAUCACUGGGCAUAAAGAGCACGUAGGCUGUCAGUUAAGUCUGCUGUGAAAGCCCCCCGGCCCAACCGGGGAACAGCAUUGGAAACUGGCUGACUCGAGGACAGGAGGGGUGAGUGGAACUCCAGGUGGAACGGUGAAAUGUGUAGAUAUCUGGAGGACGACCGGUGGCGAAAGCGGCUCACUGGCCUGUCUCUGACGCUGGAGGUGCGAAAGCUAGGGGAGCGAACGGGAUUAGACUACCCCGGUAGUCCUAG